GGCCUUAAACAAGACUUUCCCAUCUCGCAAACUCAGAAAAACGCACGUGUAGCUUUUACAGAAGAAGGUUCGGAAAGCACACAAAGCCCUUCAUCUUAAUCCUUGUUUGGUUAACAGAAGUAGCUUCAAGCAUUGGCCUCGUUUCACUCAGAUGAAUAUAUUGCCUGGAAAUAAGGGUUUUGGGUUUUGAGUUGAAGAUCCUGCAUUCUGUCAUCUGGGUUCUGCUGGAGAAUUCGAGGUUUCAAUGUGGAUCUGAUUUUGGUGAAUUAUAAGACAAGAAGUGGAGGGAAAAGAGAUGUUGCCCAAUCAAAGCUAUUCUCGUAUUGACACUUCAGAGCUAAAAUUUACAAUUGUUCAAAAAAUUGGGCAUCAGAGAGCUGAGAAAUACUUUGAUCUGACCAGAAGAUUGUUUGGUUUGAAGAUUAGCAAGUGUGAUUUCAACAAAUUCUGCAUUCGGACUAUUGGGAGGGAAAAUGUCCAUCUUCAUAACAAGCUUAUUAGGUCAAUUAUCAAGAAUGCUUGCCUUGCAAGAACUCCACCACUGACAGGUAUUAGGAAAACGGGAGGUGCCCUCAAUGCUAAAGUUGUAAUUGGCUAUCAGAAGAGUUGUGCUCAACCGCUUUACGGGGAUGCAUUUCCUCAAUGCCCUCGCAAGGGCCGGUCUGCUGUUAAUCGAGAUCGUAAGUUUCGGGACCGGCCAAGUCCUUUGGGGCCAAAUGGAAAGCCCCAAAAUAUUGCAUAUGAGGAAUUGAUUUCCAAAGCACAUGAGCAGCAAAGUCCUACUGAGUUGCUUUCUCUUGACAGCAGGCCUCCCAUUGAAGUUGCCUCUGAGGAUGGAGAAGAAGUUGAACAGGUUGCAGGGAGCCCAGCUAUUCAAAGUAGAAGCCCAGUAACAGCUCCCUUUGGUAUAUCCAUGCAUUUGGUUGGAUCACGUAAAGCUUUUCCUAAUGUAUCAGUGUGUGGUGGUACAUACCACCGUGAAACCUGUCAAAACUGUGGUGAGCUACCUGAUACAAAAUCGUUAAGAAGUCGUUUGGAGCGUAAGUUGGAGACGGAGGGUAUUGGUGUUUCUGUAGACUGUGUUAACCUCUUGAACAAUGGGUUAGAUACUUUCCUGAAGAGAUUACUGGAACCUUGUAUUCGAUUAGCUGGGACAAGGCAUGGGGAUGAGCAAUUAAAACAACUAAACAGUCUGUAUAUAUGUGGUUCAAAUGGGACAUUGCGUGGGGGACAUAUGCAAAGAGAAACAAAAUCUACUUAUGCAUCCAUGUUAGAUUUUUGUGCAGCAGUGGAGUUAAAUCCGCAAAUACUUGGUGAAAAUUGGCCCAUACAGCUUGAGAAGAUUGUCGUACGUGCUUCUGAAGAGUGAAAAAAAAAACCUUUUAUACGCACAUUCAGCAGUUGAUGAGAUCAAGGGACGUGAAACUUACACCCUCAAUUAUUCAUAGUUCAGUUUUUUGAUCAUUUGACCUCACAUGGAUUUGUAGGCUUUGCCUCUUCAAGGUUUUAAGCAUUGACAUAAGAAAAAUUUGUGGAUUCUGUGGGAAGUUUGGGUAAAGCUCAUUAGGUUGCAUAGGCUUGAUAGUCAUUCUUAAGAGGGCAUGUUAAUACAGUAAUAUGUUAACGUUUUCAUACAAGACCUCACUGUUUGAAGUGUGGAGAAGGAAAGAGAAGUUGGGUAAGUUGGUUCCGCUCAGCUUCGUCGGCUAUAUAAUUUCAAAGAAAUUUCUUUUGAUUAAAUAGUUUUGAAGAGGUACUCUUAAUUGGUUGUGAACAGUGGAAGGCGCACAGCCAGAUCUGAAGCCUCAGCUCAAUAUCAAAGCCCAGAGGGCAUUGUUUGAAGAAUGCUGACCUGACUACUAACAUAGUUAGUGGUUAGAAUGUUGUUAUAUUGCAUAGGUAGGGUAGUUUGUUCUGAGGCUUGCUUCACUGAGCUCAAGAUGAGCUAUGUUUUAAAUAUCAGAUUGUAUUACUGAAUUUUUUGUUGAUUGACGAUUGACAGAAUCCAAUUCAUUAUAGAAUUC